AUCCCACCGAGGCCACCAUAGACCAGCCAGCCCUCAGCGUACAUGCCAGCUAAUUACAGAUGCAGGAGCAAACCCCUGGCCCAUACAUCAAUUUUAAUGUCAUUGAAUACAGAGAACAAAUCUCAUUCACUUUGGUAUCGGCUGGAGUCAACAAACAUUUAAAAAUCAUUUACUGCGUCUGAUUUUGGGUAUGUUGAAUUGGUGACGUCUGAGUUGCUUCUGGUCUAUCCUGAUAGAAACAUACAGUAAACAGAGAAAAAAAAGGAUCUCAGGUGAGAUGAUGUAUGGGAAUGCUCAGCAUACAGAAUGAAUGGAUAAGAGGCCUGAAAACAUAAUCCUGUAAACAACCAUAUUGAAAGAGAAGACAGAAGACAUCAAACAGGAUUUUGGAAGCAUUGCCUUCUACAGAAUCCACAGUAGUCCGAAGCUCUUCUACGGUUUUUGUCAAACUUUGAUUUUCCAUCUCUAGCUUCAAUAAUCUACUUGAUGUCAACUCAUUCACCUCAUGGCCCAGGGAUUUCUGGGGUGCUAUAAUAUUGAAAAAUACACCAUUGUAUUUACUCUUUACUGUUUUUACUAUGUUUACUCUUUACUAUUUAAAAAGUUGAGUGUAUAUGCAUUGCAUCAUCUGAUCCUUAACUUUAUUAAAAAUUCAAUGAGGUUAUAUAAGAUAAA
rnacentral:lncRNA from 1 species